GCUGGCAUUGUCAGAGGUAUGCCCAUUUCUGUGAUUCUGGCAUGAGCUGCUUCCUCUGAACUUCCAUGUUAGCUGGGCAGUAUAAAGACACUCCAAAACAUAUGUGAUUCCAAAAGUGCGUGGCUGAAGAACUUACGUAGCUGUUUCACCCAAUGUAUCAUAUAAUUUGGGGAUCCCACUGGUGCCACGAGCCAUAUAGCUGAAAAUGGAGUUUACUAAUACCCCAGAAACGAGAUGCCUUGAAUUUCUUCUAUUUUGAGAUGACGUUUAUACAGCACAUUAAAAAACAAUCAGGUCUAAAUGUGCAUUCUUUGUGUAUGCAAAUCUGAAAUAAUCUGAAAACUUCAAAGGUAUUCCUCGGUAGGCUCAACACAUCUGUGUGUGUCACCGGGUACAAACCCAUGGGAAUGACCUCGGGCCUGAGAGGCAGCAGCCGCUUCCAGGUCUGUGAGCUCAGGACCCGCAGGUGUUCUAUUAACUUGGAGUAACACCCACCGCAAGGCUUGACGCUCCUCUGCCACAGCUCAUCUGUGAUUGGAUGACAUCCUUACAUUUUUAGAUCCAAAGUAAAACACACACCUUAUAACAAGACAAAAUCUUCAUUCAAUUUUUAACUAUCACUAAUGGGCACUCCCAAGAAUUGUUUCUUAACGUCCUAAGGAAAGGAAAUUACUACUUGACCAGCCCACUUGGACAGUCUCUUUCCUCACCCUCUAUGACCUCACAGAGUCCUGGCCUUUUCUGUGGUGGGAGGGUCUCUUUCUCCUCCUUCCCUCAUCCUGCCUUCUCCAGGCUCAAAACUCAAAUUCAGUUUCCAUCAAAGUCACUUAUUGGUGACCUUGGACUCUUAGGUAAAGAACAUCUGCUGUGGUUGGUGUGGCUGGAGCAUAGGACCUCCAUGAGGAACGAGCCUGGAAGAAGGUCACAAUGUUGUCUGAACCGCACCUCAUUUUGUUGGGGAACUCCCUCCCCUUGCCCCACGUGCUUCCAAUGGGGACUGCUCAUCCACGUCUCCUGAAUGCCCGGCCCACCUGGAUUUCUCCAAAUUGCUGUUGGGGAGGCCUGUGUCCUGUGGAGCCAUCCAACGCUAUUGGCUGGUUUGCCAGGAAGAGCUCUCAUCCUCACCCACACUGGGCAGAGACAACAAAGCCAGCCCUGAGUGCUGUGCCAGCCGUGGCAAUCGCCUGGGAGAGAAGAAGCUUUUAGAAGUUAACUCCGUCAGGGCCACCCCAGCUACAGGGAGCUGUGCCCUAAGAUGCCUGCUUGCUGCCAAACCUGAGGGUCCUCCUAAGACUAUGAGUCGUAUAGAAAUCGAGUUAACCUUCUAGAAUCAGAGUCUGUUGGAGCAGAUGUAAACAGCCUGCGUUAGGAAGGAAGGCAUGGUUCUGUUCUGGUUUGCAUGGAGCAUCUGAGAGACCCGGCAUGGGCUGUGGAGUCAUCAAGACUUGGCUUUGAAUUCUAGCCUGUUUCUUCCUUCAUCCGUGAAAUGUGCUUGAUAAUAUCUAUCUCACAGACUGUCCUGAGCAUCAAAUGUAAUCGUGUAUAUAAAAGUACUUUGUAAAUAGCACUAAAUUACUUGCCAUUUAUUUACCCCCAAGAAAUUGGGGCCACCCGGAGGGCAAGCUCUAGGUCUCAUUUUUUUUUUUAUUGUAACAAAAAACACGUAGCAUAAAAUUUACCAUUUUAACUAUUUUUAAAUGUAAAGUUCGGUAGUGUUAAGUAUAUUCACAUUGUCGUGAAACAGAUCUCUGGAACUUUUUCAUCUUGCAAUACUGAAACUCUGUCUCCCUUAAACAACCACCACCCCUUCCCCCUACUCCCAGCCCCUGGUAACC
rnacentral:lncRNA from 1 species